GAGAGAGUCCGGCUACUAUACUAUUGGUAACAUAGAGAUCUUCAUACUGUCAAGUUGUUUUUGAUGAUGCGGCUUCUGAAUCGACGAUCGGCUUCGGUAGACUUGUUAUACACUGUUGAAAGUAUUUGAAAAUUAAAUUUCAUAAUUUUUCAAUAUUAUUUACCUAUCAAAUGAGUAUUUUAAAAAUUAACGACUGAAAAUAAAAAUCUCAUAAAAAUAAUGAUAAGAGGUUUGAAUUUAAGAUCAAAGGUACUGAUCUUAUUCUAAAUAGUGAAGAAAAAUUUUAAAAUUUUAUCGGAUUUGGAUUGUUUUACGCCGCUAAAUUAACAAACGCAUUACAUCGGUUAUUAAAAUUAUCAAAUUUGAGACCUUUUGAUCAUUAGUCAAAUAAUGUCAAAAAAUAUAAAUUUAAUUUUUAAAUAUUUUCAAUAGCGUAGAUCAUGUCUAAGAGAGUUAAGGAUGUCAACGGGUCGAAUUUGGGACGAAUUUUUAAAAACUCGAAUCCGAACUCAACACAUUCUUUCAUCCAACAGCUGAAAACUUAAUACUAUUAAGAUGAUAAUGGU
rnacentral:lncRNA from 1 species